rnacentral:rRNA from 1 species
GACGUGGGGCGCGAGCGUUGUCCGGAUUUAUUGGGCGUAAAGAGCUCGUAGGCGGCUCGUCGCGUCAGCUGUGAAAACCCGCGGCUUAACCGUGGGCUUGCAGCUGAUACGGGCGGGCUAGAGUUCGGUAGGGGAGACUGGAAUUCCUGGUGUAGCGGUGAAAUGCGCAGAUAUCAGGAGGAACACCGGUGGCGAAGGCGGGUCUCUGGGCCGAUACUGACGCUGAGGAGCGAAAGCGUGGGGAGCGAACAGG